UACGUAGGGUGCAAGCGUUAAUCGGAAUUACUGGGCGUAAAGCGUGCGCAGGCGGUUUUGUAAGCCAGAUGUGAAAUCCCCGGGCUCAACCUGGGAACUGCAUUUGGGACUGCAAGGCUGGAGUACGGCAGAGGGAGGUGGAAUUCCACGUGUAGCAGUGAAAUGCGUAGAGAUGUGGAGGAACACCGAUGGCGAAGGCAGCCUCCUGGGCUAGUACUGACGCUCAUGCACGAAAGCGUGGGGAGCAAACAGG
rnacentral:rRNA from 1 species